GCCCGCGGGGCCAGCAGGGUGCGUUGCGCCGCGCGGUGUCUGAGGCGGCGGCUCCGCUCCGCGCCCGCUCCCGCCGCUACCGGAGAUUUGUCCUUUCCUCCCCGCAGCAAGUGAGGUGGGAACACCUGCCCAGGAGCAAUCGAGGAAUCCAGAAAAAUCAGGGAAUCCACGCGGAUCCGAGGCUGCUCUGCAGUAGGGAAGGAUUCUCCUGUGCUGGGCCCGGAGCCGAUGGCAGAGAAUGUCCACGACUAACAACAUAGCGCAGGCCCGGAAGCUGGUGGAGCAGCUCCGCAUCGAGGCCGGGAUCGAGAGGAUCAAGGUCUCCAAAGCUUCCUCGGAGCUGAUGAAUUAUUGUGAGCAGCAUGCCCGGAAUGAUCCACUCCUGGUGGGAGUUCCUGCUUCCGAGAAUCCCUUUAAGGACAAAAAACCCUGUAUCAUCCUAUAGCUCCGGAUCCCUCCGGAAGGGAAUUCCCAUCCAGCCUCUGGAUCCAGGCUCCUCCACACCUCCACCUGCGCCCAAGGGUAAAAACUCAACGCUGGCUUCAAACAGAACUUAAAAAUUCCUGAGAAAAACAAAAAAAAAACAAAACAAAAAACCCUGAGAAAAACAAACAAACAAACAAAAAACCCAAGGAAAAAAAAAAAACACCCAAAAAGAAUCCUGAAAAAAGUAAAUUUGGAAGCGGGGGUUUUUAGGGAAGGGGUGGCCGCUUCCUGGGAAAGAAGGUGGGAUUAAAAAUUGGAAUUGGGAUUUUCAAAUUUACCCAGGGUUGAGGGAGGAAAGGAGGGAGGGAUUUUUUUAUUGGGAUAUUUGGAUUUGGGAAAGGGGUGGUGGUGGAGGAGGAGGUGGGGGGGGUCAUUCCCAGUGGGAUGUGAGAGCUGGACCUGGAUCCAACCAGAACCUGAUCAGCAGGAAUUUCCUCUGGAGAAGGGAUCAGGUGGGAGCCAUUUUUGUAGAAAAUCAGUACAAAAAAAUAAAAAAAAACCAAAAAAAAAUCCCCAAAUCCAGCUGGAAAAAAAUCCCUGUUGGGAAUGGCCAAAGGGAGGCUGGGGAGGCUUUUCCCUACAUCCCACGGCUCCGCUGGGAUCCAGGGAUGGCCCUGUGGGGGAAUUCCCAGCUGGGAGAGAUCCCAGGAGGAAUUUUAGGGAGCCCCAGGGGUGGGAGAGGCCGGGAUCUUUGAGGGGUCUCUGUGCUGUCCCCAAAUUCACGGAGGGAGGGAAGAGAAGGGAAGGGAAGGAGCUUCCUGUUGCAUCCAGAAUCUUGGAAAAAUUGACUUUUUGGGGGAAUUUCCACCCAAAUCAGCAAAUUCCUGGCGUUUCCCGUCUCCCUUUUCCACACUGGAAUUCUUCCCACUAAAUGCAGAGCCUGGGAAAUGUCCAGGGAAGUUUAGGGCAGGUGGGGAGGGGGAGUGGAAGGACCAGUUCUGUUCCCAUCCCGUGGGAAUCUGGGAAUGGGAUUGAACUGGGAGCGCUUGGAUCUCACGGGGAUGAGCCGGUGCGAAGCGGGGAGCAGGGAAAAGGGGAUCCAGGGAAAGGGGGAGCAGAAAAGGGGGAUCCAGGGAAAGGGGGAGCAGAAAAGGGGGAUCCAGGGAAAGGGGGAGCAGGAGAUGCUUCCAUGGAGCCUUGGAAAGGGCUGGGGCUGGUGGAUGCUCGGGAGAGCUCCGGGAAUUCCCGCGGAGUGGCCGCCGGAUCUGUGGGGAAGGGACAGAUCCCGGGAUUUGGGUGCAGUGUCUGAGCCCAAGCCACGUCCCCAGGGCCCAUCCUGGGGCUCAGCAGCUCCUGGGAGAUGUUCCCAAAAUCCCAGAAUCCGUGAGGCUGGAAAAGAUUUCCCAAGAGCAUCGUAGGGAGAGGCCAUUCCCGGUUAUCCUGAGCCCAGGUUUUUAGGAAGAGAAGGGAUAAAAAUAACCCAGCCACACCUGAUGUGAAAUCCUGGGGGUUUCCCCAUUCCCCCCAAAGCUUUGGAUUGGGUUAGGAACGCCAGGGAUCCCAGCAUGGGACAGGGAGCAAUUCCCAUGGGAAGGGAUUUGCAAUUCCCUGGAUUCCCGGUAAAUCCCCGCGGCCCAAACUGGUGCUGCUGGUGCGGGCUGGGCACCGGGAGCGCUCCGGCCCUUUUCCAGAGGCGGAUGGAAUUCCCGGGGGGCCGCUCCACGUCCCCUCCUCGGCUGCAGGAAUGUCGCCGUUCCUUCUUUGCAGUCCGCCGUCAUUUGCCUUUGCGACAAAAGUCGGGAAAACGCCACGUUUUUAACACUAAAAGCUGCGCGGCUUUUCCUGGGAAUGCUCCCCGCAGUGUCCCGCAAUUCCAGGGCUCGGGAAUGUCCCCCCCCAUCCCUUGAGGGGGAGCAGAGCAGGGAAAAUGGGAUCAUUUCCCAGGAAUUUCCCUUCCUGUCCCUCAGCCCCAGCAAAGCCUUUUCUGGAGAGUUUGAUCCCAAAUCCCAAAUCCCAAAUCCCAUCCCGCUCCACGCUCUGCCCGCCGGGAAUCACGCGAGGAAUCCCGAGUCCAGCCCGGGAUUCCUUCUCCAGGAGGGAAUUCCCUCUUGUCCUUAAUCUCUCGGACAGUUCCAGCCUUAUUUUUCUACUCCAGAUCUGAUUCUUCCUCUGUGUUCGAGACCAGAGCUUGGUGCUAUCCUUGGAGCCGGGGCUGGGCCGGGAAUUCUUCCUCCUCCUCCUCCUCCUCCUCCUCCUCCUCCUCCUCCUCCUCCUCCUCCUCCUCAGGGGCUCCAACCCCCCAUCCCGGGAGAAUCCCGUGGGAUGUGAAUCCCAAGGGGAGCUGGGUCAGACGCUUUGGGGUCGCUCUGCCUCCCCCAUCCCGGGGUCCUGCCCGAGCCAAAGCCACGCUGGAGCCGGGAGAGGGGAAAGGGAAAAGGGAAAA